CAAGACAUGGAGAAAACCCGCGAAGCACAGAUUAAUAGCGUAAUAUAUAAUAUUACUGACAACAUUUAAAACAAAGGAAUAGAAAAGAGAUCGGUACUUGACCAGGUGCUCUUUGUAUUUAAAAAAUAAAAAGAAAAGAAUGCGCCGGACACGAAUGACCCAGAGGUGUUAAAGUCAACACCUAUCUGGUUUUCAACCGGAGAGCUGAAAAGCUCAGGCUUUUUGAAGAAUCUCCAGUUCUCCGGCAGAAAAAAAAUGUUUUGAUUAAAGCUAAUCGUUUUCGAUAACUUUUUUAAGAGCACUGUAAAAAAGAGCACUGUAAUAAUUUGAAGCCAAAAUCUCAGCCAGAAGAGUUAUCGAGCUCCACCAGAACAUUACUCACGAUUGUGAAAAUGAUAUAUAAAGAUUAGAUAAAAAUGUAUGAAAAAAAAAUCAUAAUAUAAGAAAAUAAAUAUUAUCCUCAUGGCUGAGCAGUGUGCCUGAAAAUGUAACAACAAA